rnacentral:lncRNA from 1 species
CAAUUGAACUAUCAACCAAGACUCAAAAGCAAGGGGUUAAAUGAGCUGAUGAUGCAUAUUUAGCACUUGGAACAGCAUGUGAACCAAAGUAAACGUGGUAGACUGAAAAACAUGGCCCUGCGUUUUCACAGCCUUAGAAAUGAGAUGUUGCAUCUCCUCCCAGGAAGUUACAGAACUCUGCACCUACAAGUGGGCAGCCCAGCCAGCUUGCUGCAGGAGAGGCCAUGCAAAGCACAGGUCAGCUGUCCAUGCUCAGGCCUCUCCCACCCAGACCAAC